GACGAACGCUGGCGGCGUGCUUAACACAUGCAAGUCGAACGAUGAAGCCGGAGCUUGCUCUGGUGAAUUAGUGGCGAACGGGUGAGUAACACGUGAGUAACCUGCCCUUGACUCUGGGAUAACUGCGGGAAACUGUAGCUAAUACCGGAUACGACCCUCGGAGGCAUCUCCUGGGGGUGGAAAGAAUUUCGGUCAAGGAUGGACUCGCGGCCUAUCAGCUAGUUGGUGAGGUAAAGGCUCACCAAGGCCAAGACGGGUAGCCGGCCUGAGAGGGUGACCGGCCACACUGGGACUGAGACACGGCCCAGACUCCUACGGGAGGCAGCAGUGGGGAAUAUUGCACAAUGGGCGCAAGCCUGAUGCAGCAACGCCGCGUGAGGGAUGACGGCCUUCGGGUUGUAAACCUCUUUUAGCAGGGAAGAAGCGAAAGUGACGGUACCUGCAGAAAAAGCACCGGCUAACUACGUGCCAGCAGCCGCCGUAA
rnacentral:rRNA from 1 species